CAGCAGCCGCGGGAAUACGAAGGGGGCUAGCGUUGUUCGGAAUUACUGGGCGUAAAGCGCACGUAGGCGGAUAUUUAAGUCAGGGGUGAAAUCCCAGAGCUCAACUCUGGAACUGCCUUUGAUACUGGGUAUCUUGAGUAUGGAAGAGGUAAGUGGAAUUCCGAGUGUAGAGGUGAAAUUCGUAGAUAUUCGGAGGAACACCAGUGGCGAAGGCGGCUUACUGGUCCAUUACUGACGCUGAGGUGCGAAAGCGUGGGGAGCAAACAGGAUUAGAUACCCCAGUAGUCCCUGUCUCUUAUAC
rnacentral:rRNA from 1 species